rnacentral:rRNA from 1 species
ACUACGGGAGGCAGCAGUGAGGAAUAUUGGUCAAUGGGCGGAAGCCUGAACCAGCCAAGUAGCGUGCAGGAUGACGGCCCUACGGGUUGUAAACUGCUUUUAUACGGGAAUAACGCGCCUUACGUGUAGGGCUUUGCAUGUACCGUAUGAAUAAGGACCGGCUAAUUCCGUGCCAGCAGCCGCGGUAAUACGGAAGGUCCGGGCGUUAUCCGGAUUUAUUGGGUUUAAAGGGUGCGUAGGCCGCAUGUCAAGCGUGCUGUGAAAUGUCCGGGCUCAACCCGGGCCUUGCGGCGCGAACGGGCGUGCUUGAGUCCGCGGAAAGCAGGCGGAAUUCGUCGUGUAGCGGUGAAAUGCUUAGAUAUGACGAAGAACCCCGAUUGCGAAGGCAGCUUGCUGCAGCGGAACUGACGCUGAUGCUCGAAAGCGCGGGUAUCGAACAGGAUUAGAUACCCGAGUAGUC